GUCCCGCGGAGUUGCCAUGGUUACAGGCGCCACGCUCUGCGCGGGCCGGCGUGCGCUUCUGGGGCGGGUAGCGGGCUCCGGAAGUGUGCAGCUGCCCGGGACCAUGGCGGUGCUUGCUGCUGGGGAUGGCGGCUUGCUCGGCCGGGCGACUAGUUCUGGCCUGGUCAGUCGGCGGCCGACAUCCUGUCUGGGGCGGCGUCCCACAGACGGUAAACGUACCUUCUGUGUGACUUCAACCCUCCAGAGGGCUUCAACCUCCUUAGGAACGUCUGCAUCCACAUUGCCUUCCUCCUGAAGACCCUGCUGAAGAUGGAGGAGCCGGUACUGGUGCUAUUCCCUUGGGGCCACCUCUACCACUGGCAGAGCCCCGAUCCCUGGUCCGACUCCUUUGACCUCCCAAGUCUCAACAGAAACAUCCCUGACAUUGAGUACGAGCAGUUCGUUGCAGGCCUCUGAAUCCUCAGUCCAGGGAAGCUAAACCAUUCUAGCCUUCAUCGGUUCUGGGAAAGCAAUCUUCAGAGUGGGAAAAGACAUUGAAAAAUAAUAUUCUGUGAGUUGCAUUCUACCCUUGCCCAGAGAUGAGAAACAUCUGAAGGUGGAGGAAAACAGUUGGAGGGUUCACUUGGUGAUAAUAAUCAUAACCAAAGCAACAGCAAACCCUUACAGAACUCUGUCCUGCUGUUCCAGGAACGCUGUGUUCAUGACAACCCAAUGAGUUGGCACCACUAUGAGUUCCACUUUAAAGACUCUUCUCCCUCUCUUCUCUGAGUGCCCCCUCACUUCACCCGUGGUCCCUGCUUCCUGGGCCACCAUCACUGGAGUUGACGCUUUGCACCUUCACAACCCCCGUUUGAUCAGGAGCCUGGGUUGGCCUCCUUGUGCUCACUUUCCACCUUCAGAUGAUUGCUCCUCCCCUCGUGGGAGCACAUGGAAAACCCAGAUCCUUUCCUAGCAGUGCCUGCCACCCUGGCCUCCCUGCUCAUCUGCCUCAGUCAGGAGCACCUGGACCAACAGCUCUGUAUUGCCUCGCCUCCUACCAUCAAGACGUCAAAGUUCAUUCUCCUUCCACCACCCAGUAUGGUCAUUGUAGGGUCUUCUUCUCUGUCAGCCUGAGCCAGCCACCCCCCAUUCACCCUACCCCCGGGCUCAUACCCGGGCGUGUCUCCACCCAAGGUCCAGCCUCUCUCCUUUAAGUGCCCACCUCUAGCCGUCCAGCUUCUUCUCCACCAGCCUCCCUGGCCCUCCUUCACCCUCACUGGGGCAUCAUGCGCUGACUCCUCUGCUUUCCUGCCUGUCCACGUUCCUCUUACUUCCACUUCCCCACCUUCCAGCUCUGCAUCCACAGUCAGCACUCUCUUUAUGACAGACAAAACCCCCUUGAGCCUUGACCUUUUCAGUUCCUCACCAGGCCGACUUCCAUCUCGGUUCACCCAGCUCUACUUGUUCUGAGCCUGCAGGCAGCAGGCUCUCCCAGCACAGAUUUCCAAGACUACAAAUCAAUGCCCACCAUGUUGCCGCUGCCAGGCAAUCCUCCAGGAUUUCUCUAGUGAGCACAUUUCCCCACUUAUCACUCAGUGGUGUCAACAUUCUCUGCUCUCUGCACACCUCUAACCUUCCCUCUGUCUCUUCCCUGACUCCCAGCAGAUGGCCUUGCCUCCUGCUUCAGAGAGAAUGACAUGUCACUGGAAAGGAACUGGCUCACCUGCAGCAAACCUGCUCACCUCACCUUUUAUCUGUCCCUCUCCCACCUGGACUCUAGCUGUAGUUGUUCUUAAUUCAGUGAGUUUAGUUGACAUAUAUAUACACACUUAAAAGCAUAGCACACUAUCGGCUACCUUCUAGGGGUUACUUUUUCAAUUUAACAUGGAGUGUGUGAUUCAUCCACUUCAUUGCAUGUACCUGCAGUUCAUUUGUUUUAACUGAUCUUAAAUGUUGUGUGUGUGAAAGUAACACAAGGCAAGGGUAAGCCAGGAUUCAGGAUGCUGGUUACUUCCUGUGAGAAAAGGCCAAGAGCAGGAUAGGGAAAGAGGACACAGUAUGUCACUGUCAAUAUUCCUGUUAUGAUGCUGGGUGAUAGGUUCAUAACUGUGUCUUAUAAUAUUAAUUUUAAUACAUAAAUACCUCUGACAGGCACCUAAGAUGAGAAUGUGUCAUGAACCAAGACAUACAAUGGGUAAUAUUACAUCAUUAUUGUUAUGUAAUCUUGUUAUAUUAUAUAUUAAUCAUAAUCUUACAUUAUUUGUUAUGGGUUAUAUAUUAUAUAGAUGCAUGAAUUAUAUAUUAUGUGUAUAAACACCUACAUAUGUAUUAUAUACUAUCUGCUAAUAAAUAAACAGAAGAUAAUAUGCUAGUAUAUCUUCUAUUAUGUAUUAUUUAAUAAAUAAUAACAUACUCUAUCCUGUUAUAUGACAUGGAACAUAAUCUUUAAUAAAAUAAGAAAUCUGUCAAUAUA